rnacentral:rRNA from 1 species
UACAUGGGGUGCAAACGUUGCUCGGAAUCAUUGGGCGUAAAGAGCUCGUAGGCGGUCUGUCGCGUCUGGUGUGAAAAUCCAGGGCUUAACCCUGGACCUGCAUCGGGUACGGGCAGACUAGAGUGCGGUAGGGGAGAUCGGAAUUCCUGGUGUAGCGGUGAAAUGCGCAGAUAUCGGGAGGAACCCCUGUGGCGAAAGCGGCUCUCUGGACCACAACUGACGCUGAGGCGCGAAAGCUAGGGGAGCAAACAGG